UGGACAAUGGGCGCAAGCCUGAUCCAGCCAUGCCGCGUGAGUGAUGAAGGCCUUAGGGUUGUAAAGCUCUUUUAGCAGGGAAGAUAAUGACGGUACCUGCAGAAAAAGCCCCGGCUAACUUCGUGCCAGCAGCCGCGGUAAUACGAAGGGGGCUAGCGUUGCUCGGAAUUACUGGGCGUAAAGCGCACGUAGGCGGACUCUUAAGCCGGUGGUGAAAUCCUGGAGCUCAACUCCAGAACUGCCUUCGAUACUGGGAGUCUUGAGUUCGGGAGAGGUCAGUGGAACUGCCAGUGUAGAGGUGAAAUUCGUAGAUAUUCGCAAGAACACCAGUGGCGAAGGCGGCUCACUGGCCCGAUACUGACGCUGAGGUGCGAAAGCGUGGGGAGCAAACA
rnacentral:rRNA from 1 species